rnacentral:piRNA from 1 species
CAAGCAACUUGCCCUAGCAGAUGGAGAGGC